ACUAGCACAAAUAUUCUCAGCUACUUAACCAAAAAGACAGAAAGCAGGCAAUUAUUUUACUUGCCCCAUCUCUAUUUCAAUUUGCCAACUGGAUUACUGUGGAGAUGCAGAGGAUAAAAGGCAAUGGUUGACCAGAAGGAGGGAAAUGCUUCAUGUCACUGAAGAACAAACAUGAUGAAAUUGAGAAAGGAUGCACCUCAGCUUUUUGGGGAUAAAUAAUAACAAUGAAGGCAACUGUCAUCAGGGUCCAGUCAGAAGUGCAAUUGCCCUUUCAUUUAUCAGACAUUGCUUCUACUACUCCUGAUCUUCCAAGACACCAUUCUGAAGUCCAGGUCAUUUCCCAUUGGCUUCCACUGACUUUGAAUAGGACUUCAGCUUUUUCUGGCUGUAAUCAUUCUGCAAAAGAUUACAUCAUGAAGGAGUGAAGAUGGAAGUUGCAGUCUCCCUGGAUAUUACAGCUGUGUAUGGAGUAGUGGGAAAUCCAGUGGGGCUGGACGACAUCUGACGAUAGGAUUGUCCACCAAACAGAGCGCUGACCCAAGUGGGAUUCAGAUGCAGUCUGGAGUUCAUAGAAUUGCAAAUCCACCAGAAGAAAUACUUGGCAUCUUCUUUUAGAAAUAAAAAAUCGGUCUAUUUGUAAUGCUGAAAUGAAGAAAAUGGGAACCAGAGCAAUGGAGAGGAGCAUUAGAGAAACAGAAAGGCUCCCACUUGUUCAGCCAGGAGGACUCCGGUGGCGCUCGUCUUGAUUGCUGACAGGAUUGUCAAGGUGAAAAGUCAUCCGGAAAAAGCAGUAUUGUCUGUAGUCAGAAUACCUGUUCUCAGAACUUUCCACCAGUUUCAUGGGCUCCAAAAUGCAUCAUUUGCUUGACACAAUUCUCCUUAUGGACUACAAAGAACACCAGUGGAUAUCCUGAUAAUGAAAUAAUGGACAAGUGACUGUAACAGUAAUGAGUGGAUCAGUGACAGACUCAGACAUUGAAUAUAACUGGUCCAUGAAGAAGGCAGGUAUGAAGAGUCUAUGUCUUCUUACUGAAAUGUUGAAGUGUAAGUAGAAAAUGUGUUUUGUUUUUGAGAAAGCCAUUAGAAAGUUACAAUUUAGAGAUUAGCUGCUCAAU